rnacentral:tRNA from 1 species
GCUGGUGUGGCGAAACGGUAAACGCAGAGAUCCCACACAUCUCUGGGCGCAAGCCCUUGUGGGUUCGAAUCCCACCACCAGCACCC